CCGUACACAUUUUCCAACCAGCCGGGGAUCGGUUCAGCGACCGCUGAUAUGACUGCGGGCGUUUAAAAUCAAAACAAACUCAUAGUUUGAAGCUUACAAGUAUGUACACAUUUAAUCACACCAAUGUAACGCAUCCGUACUGCCGUUUGAGUCACAGCUCGUAGACUAACAUAACCGUAUGUCAUACUAACACGCUUGUGAUGCAGCCCCCAAUAACACCACUGCAACAGUGUUUGUUUACAUUUGGUAUUCUAAAAUACCAACACUUUUGUUAAAAGUUUGAAUCUAAAGCAAUAUAUAUUGACUCAUGGCAUGUUCACAAGACACCAGUGGGUUGCAGUUUCGCCAAAGUGUGUAUUUAAAGUAUUUUAAUAUUUUGUAAAUCUUUCAAAAUAGUUAAAUCUGUAAAUACUUGAAAGUUGUGAAAACUUACGAUAAAAAUGUCUUGAACCAUAAAAAAACAGAAACACGUGUGAUUAGGCUGAUGUAAGAGAGUGGCACGCACUAAACAUUUGCGCCUGAUAAAUACUUCAAAAUAUCAAUCAUGGAACGAUAGAAUUAUGCCUGACUUUAUUUCGUGUUCACAGUUUCUGAAGGUAUGUACAGGAUUUCUUUUGUGAGCAUUUUUAUUUACGUGAUGACAUGAUUAAAAUAUUUCGUAGUUUAAUAAUGAAAUUUAAAUUACAUCAGUUAAUUAGUAGAGUAGGAAUCACGUCGUUAAGUCUGCCUAGUACUUUGCAGACUUACUGAAGUUUAAACCCAUUAAUGUUUAGUUAGUAAAGGAGUUAUUUAUUUUUCCCGAGUUUAAGUAUGUAACUGCUUGCAAAAAAUAACUGAUGCAAUAUAAAAUGAAUGUAUGGGUAAAAUUGCUUUAGAUAAACGCGCAACUAGGAAAUUAAAAGGUGAUUUCCAGCCAUUAUUAUUUCGUCUAUCGAUGUUCAUCCAAAAUCAUUCAAGGAAAAUUUUAGGAAAUCAAUGUGUUGUAUGAAUCAGUCUUUCUUAAAUCUUUGUUGUCGAAGAAACACACAAAAAAUAAUAGUUCAAUAUUAACAACUUACCCAUUGAUGGCCGAACGAUAGCCACGGGUAAAUCUCUUGCCUGAGUAGAUAUCAAGUUCUCAGACAUUGCUUUAGAAAAUGUGUAAGUAUUUGGCCAACCACCUGUUAUCCUGUAAAAUAUUAUGUUUGCAACCAAUAACUGUAAUAUAUUUUUCACACAUUUCACUUUUCUACCCCUACACUAUCAGUAACUGGAUUAUAUAUUAGCUUCAUUAUAUUUUAGCAAUAUGGCCUAAUCAACCUAACAGCAGUGUGACGUUUCUGUAACGUCACGAAGAUUGGUCCGAACGGUUGCUCUGUGUAGUAUCAAACAUUCAUAGGUAUUCUAUGGGCAUUUCACUUAAAAUACUACUACUGGAAGGUUUUUUAAAUUUAAUUUAAUUUAAUUUUUUUAAUUUUUUGAACGUAAAGUUCUUAAUGGUAAUUUUUGUGCUAUUUUGUAGCCUAGGCAUACAGCUUGCGCCAAAGUCCAUUGGUCAAUUUUUUGUAUUAUAAUCUCUUAAUUAUAUCAUUAUCAAUCAAAUAUUUCCAUUCAAAUUUACACCCAUGCCUUAUCCGGAACUUGAACCCAAAACCCCUCGCACCGUAAGCCAAUGUGCAUCCGACCACGCUACGGAGGUACGAUGAAAAAGUACUCUUAAGUGGGUUAUGUUUCUAGAUUAUUUUAAUUAUUUAAUUUUUGGUCGUAGUGUUGGUACUAACUUUGGAAGCAGCAAGGCAAUUUCACGUUCAGUAAACCUGUCCAUCAGCAUGAACAAGUGAUCCAAUGCCAUGGGUGGGCUGUAAAUUUCCUCUCUCACCACCCGAUGGAUGCAGUUUGAAUAAGCAGUCGACACAUACACAGCAGACUGAAACAAUUCAGCAUAACAAAUUAUAUUGAAAACUUGAAACUUGAUAUAAUAACAUCGGAAAAAAAAUUGACCAGUGUUAACAAUCUCGCGAGACAAUAUAAAAAGUGAUUUUUGAAGAAACAAUUAACAUCAUGAAAAAUAUAUAUAUUAUAACUAUAAAAUAAGUACUUCAAAAUAUGUUUUCUGAUAAUCAAUAUGGUCAUUGUUUUAAAGCUCUAGGUUUUGUAUUUAUAUAUUUUUAACUUACAGAAUAAAACAAAAUAAUUAUAUCUCAUAACAUUUAUCGCAUAUAGCAUUGGUUUUCCAUCUGGUUAGUACAUUACCAACUGAGAGUUAUUUUAGAAAAACUGCUGUCUCUAUUUAAAAAUAAAUGGAUGCGUGUACAUAUGUACGCACUUCAGAAGUUAUAAUUACUUUGCGUAAUAAAAAACUAGGGAUGGGACGAUUCCAAUAUAUCAAUUCUCGAUACCCAAUUCUCGAUUCUCUAUCGAUUCUCGAUUCCCUAUCGAUUCUCGAUUCCUAUACUGAACAACUGAUAGGAGAUUUUUUUUAACAUACAGAGAAUUUCACUUGAAUUCUGAAUUAAAGAGGUUUAUUUAAAGCUACACACAUUUAGCAAAUACUUGGAAGUAAAACAGCUUUCAGAAAAAAUUCAACACUUAUAGCUACAAAUUGUAGAAACUGUUUUAAACUUUUAAUUUAUGUACAUAUAAAAGAAAGAUAUUGUAGUUCACUUUUUAACAAUUAGACAUCACUUGUUUUAGAUCCUACAAAAAUUAACCCAGAGGAUGAAAAUUAAUGUAUUAAAAAUCAUAAGGCCUACUCAAAACUCAACAAAAUGUCACUACUGUGAACAAAACAAUUUACAAGUUUUUGUUUAGAAAAACAAGCCUUCGCACAGUUUCAGGGUCUAAUCGAUGACGCUUUUGGUCAACUAUCAGGCCAGCAGUACUGAAAAGUCUCUCAGAAUACACUGUGGAUGGUGGUAUGCUAAGGUACUUUUUUGCCAGUUUUUUAAUGUUAGGGAAUUUGUAAUUUUCCUUCCAGUACUUGAAAAUGUCUGCAGUGGGAGGAAGAAUUGGUUCAUGAAGGUAAGUGUUUAUUUCAUCCUUCACAGAGGUUUCCUUUGAUUCACACUUGGCAUCAUUCAUGAUGUUGUUGUAAAAUGCCCACAUUCCAUGACUCGCUGCUGGUGCUGCUGUUUGCUUUGUUUGGACAUUAGGUAACUCAGGCUCUGAGCAGUUGGUUUUUGUUGCUUCUUCAAUUAAGUAAUUUUGUGCCACUUCAACACACUUUUGGUUAACAAACACAUGGCUUUUCAGUCGAGGAUCAAGAAGUGUUGCUGCUGCAAACAAAAUUUCUUGCUCCACUUCUGCAUACCUUAAGUUCAAUGAAGAAAUUAUAUCAUUUUUCAUACCCAGAAUUCCUGAGCCAUUGGGUGCUGGCUUUUGUAGCUCUCUACGUGUGCUGUUAACAAUCGGUAUUACCUCUGAUGCAGUCACAGUUGCAGAACUAACAGCAAGUGUAGCAUGGUUGAAAAUGCUCAGUAAGUCAGUCACAUGGGCAAGUAAAUUCCAUUCUGCAGUCGAAAGUUCUGCAGGCAAAUUGAGCUUCGUUGCAGCUAGGGUGACUGCCUGCUUUUGCUCAAGUAGACGUUGCAGCAUGUGUAGUGUAGAAUUCCAUCGGGUGGGUUCGUCUUGGAUGACUUUAUGCUGUUUUACACUCAGAACAGACUGAACAUUUUUCAGUUCCUUGCAUGCUUUACUUGAGUGUUUAAAAUGACCAACAAUGCGGCGGCAUUUUGCUGUCAAACUAGUUACAUUCUUGUUGUUAAGUAACCCAUCUUUAACAACAAGCUGAAAUGUAUGCGCUAAGCAAGAGAGAUGUUGAAACUGUGAUGUCUCUAGGGCACUUACGAUGUUCCUACCAUUGUCUCUCACAAUGCAAACAACCUUUUCACUCAGAUUCCACUCUUGAAGAGUUUCUGUGAUAAAAGUGCAAAUGUUCGACCCUGUGUGUGAGAAUUCAAUAAUUGGGAUUACCUCAAUACAAAGAUGUUGCAGAACAAAAUUUUUGUCGACAAAGUGCACCGUCAGACUCAUAUAAUCGUCGUUAUUAGUUGAAGUCCACAUGUCUGUUGUAAGGCUCACAUACUCUGCAUCUGUAAGCUGUAGUUUGACACUUUCUGUGCACUCAUUGUACAUCUCUGGUAUCACUUUCUUCGAAAAAUGUUUCCUACUGGGCAUUACAUACCUUGGCUCCAUGAAUUUCACAAAUUCAGUAAACCCUCUGUCCUCGACAAUACUAAAAGGCUGCUUAUCUAGGCACAUCAUUCUUCCAAUAUGUCUAGUUAUUGAUUUAGCUUUUGAGUCACCUGGUUUGAAAGAUGAGGUUUGAGUUAUAAAUUCUUUGAGUGUUGGUUGGACAAGGGAUUUCUUGGCUAUUGGUUUUGGUUUCAGCAUUUGGCACUGUUUGAAACUGCUUAGAAAGUCUGUGGGAUUAGGUGAGCUAGGAUCAUCAGGGUCAAGUAUUGUAGAAGCAGAUGACUGGGGUAUUGACAAAGUAGUGCUGCUGCUUUUGCUAGGAGAUGAACAAGGCUGAUGACUGACUGGAAUCAAAGGUGAUGAAAACAAUGAACCACUGUUGCAGGGCAAGGAAGUUGAUUUCUCUGCAUGAGCUGGUAAGUCCAAGCCCUUAUUUGCUGAAUCAAGUUUUCUCUUCUUGGUAUUAUCAAUAAACGCGGUAUGUUUACCAAGAUGUUUUUUCAUGUUUGUUGUUGUUUUUGAAGAACCACCUCGCGAAAUUUUCGUACUACAAAUUUGACAAAUUGCAUAAUUGUUGUCGUUUGGAUCAAUAAAAAAAUGCUCCCAGACUUCACUUGACAUGAUCGUAAUUAAUAAAAACGUAGUAAACACUCAGAAGUAUACAAUGUUUUUAAAGCAUUUUAAAAGCACAGUACAAAUACUUCCGGAUAUACAACAAUUUUGAAGUGAAGUCGCUGCAAUCAAUAUAACUUACUUACCUAGUAGGCACGUGUUUACGUUUUGCCGAUGCUGCUUUCCUUGGUUGAUUCGGCGGCCACGUGCUAGCUAUCUAAUCUCACUGAUUCGGUAAAACUGAACGCGCCAACGAUCAUUUGUGAUAGAAUGAAAGCGCCCGUUUUUUUUUCUCGUAGCAAAUUGUAAUAUCGUGCCAUACAGCAUGGCAGCAAGCUGUAGCAGUGUAUUUACUCCAUGGAUAUAUACUCUAUGGCUACUACAUCUUUGAUAUCUCGUGAUGUUAUGUUGCUAUGCUAAGCCACGCCUAAUAUAUAUUUAAAGCCGGCAGUAAUAAGUGUAACUAUUAACAGUCGGGCAAUUAUAAGUAUAUAAUCAUUUAAAAUGUUUAAAGGUAUGGUACAUUUGUACGUUACGUUACGCAGUUGUAUUAUGUUAUUGGUACGAGUCCUCGGCGUUCAUAUUUUCGUUGCGGCGAGGGUACAAUAAAUUUUUAUAUUCCUUUUUAUUACCAUUAAUUACCGUGGAAUAAAAAAAUGGUUACUGUAUGUAAAUAAAAACAAAAACAAUAUGUAGUUAAAAUUACGGGUAUAUAUUUGUUAAGGCUAGCCUACAAAUGAUUUAGCACAGAAAAUAGCACACGCACUCGCACAGGGCAUACACACAGCACAGAACUUCAACCUACAAUUAAAUAACACACGCACAGAGAAAUCGGAAGUUUAUACAAAAUAUUUACGAAAAUUAAAGGAAGUGCAGCGAAGGAAAAAUUGGUAGCCUUGUCAGAGGGAAACAGCUGAUAUAUCUGUUUAUUUGUGUUGCGCGCGCUAUGUGAGAUGAAUGGAAAGGAAAAUAAUUUGGUUUAAGGUAGCAAAAAUCACAAUUUCCCUCCAGGUCUCUGAACAAUCGUACACUUCUAACCUUAAACAGAGUAUCCUUCGAAAGGGUACGAUGAUACAGACCUUUACAUUGUAUGGCAUGUUUACGUAUUUAACACUUUUUUCUGCACAGAAACUUUCUAUCUGUAGUUCUAAAAUGCUAUAAAAAUCGUAACUAUAUAACUAAAAAAUGUAAACAACACUAAAUGAAAAUAUGUCGUUUUGGCGCCAUUAAGGUAAACUGGCAUAAAAAUAAUGUGAAACAAUGAAUUAAAAUAUAUGACGCCUUGCAAGGUAAUUCUAUUCAUUUACAGAAUACUUACAGUUGAUAUGAACUCCUUGUUCGCACAAGGCAUCAACGAUCGCCUGCCACGCAUUUUUCUUGGCUUCUUCAUUUUUUAACCCUGCCAGGGUUUUAUCAAAUAAAAUUGGGGUAAAUAUGUAGAGUAGCUGUAUUUGCGAGAAAAAAAAAAUGUUAAAAAUCAGAAAAUACUUUCAUUAUAUGCUCUUUCACUUCCUAUUUUCAUUAAACCCGGCGGAGAUAAGAAAUUCCUAAUACUUUAGGAGAUAUCGAAUUUUUUAAUUUUCAUAGUUGGGCGAUAUUUGUUAAAAAAAAAAUUAAAAAUUCCGAAAAUACUUUUAUUCUAUGCUCUUUAACUUCAUCUUUUCAUUAAACCCGGCGGAGAUAAGAAAUUCCAAAUACUUUAGGAGAUAUCGAAUUUUUUAAUUUUCAUAGUUGGGCGAUAUUCGUUAAAAAAAAUUUAAAAAUUCCGAAAAUACUUUUACUCUAUGCUCUUUAACUUCAUCUUUUCAUUAAACCCGGCGGAGAUAAGAAAUACCAAAUACUUUAGGAGAUAUCGAAUUUUUUAAUUUUCAUCACAAUACAUGUGUAUUCAUGCGACAUUCAUUAUUGUUUCUUGUUUACGAGUAUGAAAUUUUUUUUCUUUUCUUGCGGCGUUCACCAUUGUUUACCCGCCUAUAACUUAGGUGUGUUUUUAACGUUUCAAAUUAUUUGUUAUUUGGAUAUUGUUGCGCAAGUAAUAAAUUUAAAAAAAAUUACGUGAGUUCCUACUGUUCAUCCUUUGUCCCGGUUUGUUUUGAUUUGAUUUGAUUUGAUUUUUUAUUUCAUUCAAUAGACCAUACAAUGCAAGGUCACCUUGCAUACAAUGGUAUAGAAUAUGUCAAAAAAAAAUUACAAAUAAACAUAAAUACAAACACGUAAACAGGUACAAGAACAGUAUUAAAAGCAUUACAAAAUUAAAAUAAUAUAAUAUAACAGCUGCUCUUCCAUGAAUAAGAACCUAUUAUAUAUUAUAUAUAAAAUAAAUUAUUUAUAAAAGAAAAGUCAUACAUAAAAAAAUUACGAAGCUACCUCCUGUUCAUAAUCGUUUAUAUUAUAAAAAGCCUUAUGUGCUAAAUAAAGAAAUAAUUCCUUUUUAAAUAAAUUAUAUUGGUACAUAUUUUUUAGAACUGACGGUAAUUUAUUGAAUAAUCCAAUACCAAGGUCAGGUCAGUUACAUUAUAAAUACUUUAAAAAUAAACAAUCAUUAAAAUUAAUUCAUAUUAUUUUUAAUGUCCGCUUAGUUUGAAAGUAUUUAUAAUGUAACUGACGUGACCUAAUCGACCAUUUUAAUUAAUUAGGCAUUUACGAACACACGGCAAAAUAAAAAUGUGAUGUUUGAAUGAUAGUACAGGUCUUGUAUUGGAAAUAAAAACGGCGAUAUCUCCUAAAGUAUUUGGAAUUUCUUAUCUCCGCCGGGUUUAAUGGAAAGAGGAAGUAAAAGAGCAUAUAAUAAAAAUAUUUUCGGAUUUUUAACAUUUUUUUUUUUUUUUGCAAAUUCCGCUACACUACAUAUUUACCAAAAUUGGUUUGCUUUCAACCAGGCAACUAAACUUAUGUCAAAAUUAGUCUCUUCUUUCAUGUUGUAAUUGAAGGAGACUAUUUAACUUCCCGCGCAUAAUAUCAAAACAAUAAUGUACAAGUCUAGUCAAAUUACGUACGCAGUUAACAUUUACAAUUGUGCAUGACCUCGGUGGUAAGCGAGUUUUCAUUGGUCAGCGAGCAGCGCACAGCGCACACGCACAGAGAAUAUUAAAAGUUGGUCAACUUUCUGUGCGUCGAUCCUGUGCUAUUUUCCCGUGCGUAUGCUGUGCUCGAGUGUAGGUGGCGCAAUUCAAAAACUUCGUUUCUAUUUUCUGUGCGUGUGCUAUUUUCUGUGCUAAAUCAUUUGUAGGCUAGCCUUUAGUAAACAGACGUGUAUAGCUGAUUUAUGAACAGUAGUAAUGGGCAAAAAUCUUCACUAAACUUCCGAAUGUUUAAAAUUUUCACGGAAAAUUAUUUUAGAAAGCAUAUUAUGCUGGUUUUCGCAUUUUUAUUCCAGUACCACAUAUGUUUUGUAUGUUUGUAGUUAAAUUGUGACGCAAAGAUUAGGUUAGGUAAUCGAAAAUGCAAAUAAUCGACGUUUUUCCCCGAUUCUCGAUUCUCGAUUAAUUUCACAGAAUCGAUGGGUAUCGGGGUAUCGAAGAAUCGAAUUUCCCAUCCCUAUAAAAAACUAACAUUUUUUUUGCAUUAUUAAUAUAAAUAAAAUAAGAUAAUAAUUGGAGUGAUAUUAUAAAAACUAUUGGUAAGGUAUACAUUCAAUCAAAUCUUAAAUAAAUAUUCAGUAUUCAAUUUUAAUUUAAACACACAUGUAUUAUUAAUUAUUUAGAUUAAUAAAAUAAUCCACAUAAAUUUUAAUUAAUAAUGAACAUCAAUGAUAUUCUAAAUGUUUAUUCUAAUUUAUUAAUGUUAAUAAUUGGUUAAAUAAUAAUUUAUAAUGCAAAUAAAUUAUGCAAACGGGAACGUAACUUCACAAACACUGCCAUGAAAACGGCCAGGAGACUACUAAACUUCCACAGACACUCCCUGCCAGCGACAAUGGAAGCUUACAAGAAACCUGACAUAUUUAUACAUAAAAGAAUAUAACCUCACUUAUAUAAACUUCAAAAUAUAAACUUGAAAAAGUUUGAAUGGACAAUUUAUAUCACUAAUAUUCGUAAUUGUUACACUUCACUCUCUUUUUAUGACUUGUGUAACUGGUGAUCUUUUAGUUUCAAAAGGCUGAACAAAAAGAAAAACAAGGCGUGAUUUCGUAUAAACAUAAGUACCUCUAUGUUUAUUUAUCUCUUAAUAACUUUCACAUUAAAAUAAUAACAUUUGAUUAAUUUAUUGACAAACAUAUUAAAAUUAUUAAAUUAUAUUAAAAUGGAUUUAAAAUUACAUUAUCUAAAGAAUGGGCCAGCCCUUAUUAGAAAAUUACCAUUCAGUUUCACUGGUCAUAAUUAAAAGAGAAUCAGAAACAAUAAACAGGUUAGACUGAGCAAUCCCAGAGUGCGAGCGAUUAAAGGCCCGAAAGAAAAAUUUUUGGUGUUACGAUAUUUUCAACGUCGUAAACGAAUUGUUUUUCUGUAGAUUUAAAAAACUGGAGGACUGGAGAUUUGACGUUCGCUGGCUGAACUUGAGCUGCUAACGCGGCGUCAGGACGCCUUAGUCGUCCUGAUUGCUGGAGGAAGGACUCAAGGAUGGAGUUGUUAGGUCCGCAUGCGGCCCUUGGACCAUGUCAUACACGGAGAAGGCUUCUAGCAUCAGCCAGGGUGCGGAGCUCGCGAACACGCGGUUGUCGCGGAUGUUUCCAUGAUUUAAAUUUAUAAGAAAAUAUUAUGAAGUAUUAUUAACGAAGCAUGACUAUUUCUAUGAGUUAUGCAGACUGAAUAAUUACUAAUUACUAAAAGUUGUAGGGACCACAUCCCUUACCUAGCUGAUUACAUAUUUAAACAAUGACCGGAGUGAAGUCUUGAUGUGCGGCUCGCGCGGCGUGAAGUAUAUUCGGGGCGGCAGCGACUCGUAAUUACAAGUAGCCGAUGGCUUUCGACAGAAGGUGGGGAGUUCGGCUCUCAGAUUGAAAGGUUCCGACGAUUUCCGAGGGGGUGGUCGAGAAAUACUGACUUCGAUAUCUCGAAGUUGGUGGUACUGGCCGAUGACAGCGCCACCUACUGAGGGAUGUCCGAAACACGAGGCGACUGCUAAAGCAUUGGGCUUAUGGAGGGGACUAGUGCAGUGCUCUGGUGGCUUGGAAAUGAACUACAUUGCAUUGUUGGUUGCGUGAGGCACCAGAGGGCAGGAGUUUAGCGGACGUUCAAAACCCCAGGGGAAGUAACGAGAGGGGAGAGACGGUGCCUUCGCAGACCGAUGGCGUGACCUCGAGGCAGACCGGGGUUGGUGACCGGCCAGUGAACUGGGCAUGGUUCCCUGGAAAGGCUGUAGGGGGGAUGGGAAAUGUGCCGCUGCCAGUGAGAAACACUCUCGGCAGGGGCCCGAGGCAUGCCGAAAUGUAAGUUAAGACGACCUGCUGGUGCGCCUGAAAUCACUUGCAUAAGGCUGGCUCUCAGAACCUAGCUGCUCUAAUAGCUUGCAGGACAUAGCACUCCUUUUCACGGCUUGGAGGAGAAUUACAGGCGAGGGGCGUGCGCCAAGGCGUGAUUUAGACGAGAGCACUGUCUGACUUGCACUGGGUCUGAAAUAUCAUAUUUAGUGCUGGGAAAGAUUGGGGAGACUGGCCUGACAAAGAUUAGAUGGGAGUGUACAGUAGGCGGAAAAUGUUUUAAGUUUUUGCAGCAAAAAAAAAAAUAUGACUGUCGACAUUAUUUUUAAAAAAUUCAAAAAUGAGAAUUGUGCCAAAAAUACUAAUUAGGGGCACAUAGUAAAUAUAUUUUUUUAAUUAUAUAGACCAGUAUUCAAUAUCAAUCAUUCAAGUAUAUGAUCUAAAAUCACAGUUAUAUUUAUUUAUCUAUACAUAGCCUUUUUCCAUCCUGAAUAAAAUCUGUUGCAUGGUGCGCUCCCAUCGUAAAAAUUCACUUUCAUCAUUUUUCAUAAUGCGCCCAAAGAAAUAUGACUUCAAAAACUGAGGAGACUCAUAUAGUAGCUGCGAUAUUGCAUACCUAGUGUGUUGCAUGCGCCCAUAGUCACGUGGCUUUCAUUCUGCUUACGCCUCUAUUUCGUUACUUGUUAUAGGCGGAUAUACAAAAAAAUAUAUAAAGCAGAUAUACCAAGGAAGAUCUAUGACCUGUCCGAAAUAUAAAUUUAUUGUUUACCAUUUUAUAUAUUUUUUGGUUCAGGGCACAAAUGCUGAUGCUUCUUUUCGGUCCCAACGUCUAUGGGAGUGAGAACAAUCUCAUGAAUCUCACUUAAAAUUGUAAGGGUAAGUUCCACCGUAUCUUUCGAAAUAUUGAUAUAGUAGGCUAGACUACAAUGGUUUCUACUUCCAACAAUACUGAGCCCUUCUACUAACUAGACUGGUAUGUUUGUCCGACUAGGAUUACAGCUUCCUAUCGCCAUGAUACCUUUAUGGGGUUCGGUAUGUAAAGUGUGGAGUAGUGAAUUGGUAAGGAAGUUUUUGGAAAAUAUAUUAUUCUACUCUACAAUUUUUCCUACUAUUGACCGCAGAUGCCUUAUGUGCACGAAACAUGUAUCCGGUACCUGACAUACAAAUGGUACAACCUGCUUUUUGCCAUUGUUAGCAUUCCAUUCAUUUAAAAUGCCUAGAUUUAAGGCGUAAAUGAAGUGUAGUUAAACCAUAUGACUAGAAGAAAAUAUCUCCCCUUAAAAUUGUAGUGCUGGCCAUUGAAGCCACUCACCUUAUAAUAGUGCAACAUAGGGUUGAACCUGUUCUGACCAAUUGGGUGGGACUCAGACCUAUCCCACUUCUAAAGGUGGGUAUCUAUGGUGCAAACAACCAUAACUUAACCCGAUGCAUAACCAAAAUGUGCAAAUUUCGAGGGGACACGUUGCCGCAUUGCGUGUCAAAACUUGACACAAAAAUACGUAACAGGCUCGAUCCGUCAUUUGUCGAUCUUACACCGUCACAUCAAAGUACGAGAUGCGUGUCAUUCUUCUUCAUUUUUCGGUCCAAUUUAAAACAGAAAAAAAAUCAAAUUCUGUCGGAUGCUUUCUCGUAAAGUUCUUGUACAGUCCACUCCCUGCAUGAAACUUCAAACCAGCCAACAAACUCAAACCACCUUACAGCUCCCUACUUGUAAAUACUUUUGGAAUCCACCAAAAGGUGGAUUUUUUUUCUUUUUGAUAAGAUGUAUAAAAAUGAAGGUGAAUGCUGCAAUUUAACCUGAGCUUAUGGCUACUGAUAACUGCCCUUCUGAUGUGUAUACGGGAUGUAACAUUUUUUUUAUAUAGACGCUGUAACGGAUGAUUGAAAAGGUGGUAAUUCCAAAAACAUUGUGCCGUGUCGCAUCGCAGGGUUAUAAUUAAUGAUGCCAUGCAUUGGAAAAAUGCAACACAUGAAUACCAACCUUAACCAGCCGUUCCGUUAAAUGUCAUAUUCCUGUCAAGUAGACCAUGACCUUUACGUAGGAGCUCUUCACAUCACUGAUCCAUGCAUCUACGAAGCCAACAAGCCUCGAAGCCAACAAAAAACAAUCGGCGAUGGUUAUGUGCCAGGAUUGUAGCCAUCCACCCAAAGUACUUGGCACUCUGCUAAACACAAUGUGUGAAGUGGCUCACAAACAGCCACCCUGUGAAGGACAUAAGACUGUGCCUGGACCAUUUGUAUAUGACCUCACACAAGGUGAUUUUUUCUGCAGAGGAAGCGCACAUACGUACGCAAGUUCAUUCUUACUCAAUUAGCCAAUUCGCAAAAGGUAGGUUUUUCCACCCUGUAUGGUACCACAAAAAUGAGGGGAGGACUGAAUUGAUAGGCUAUAUAAUUACAACUUACUUAUUUUCAUAAAAUUUUAGUCCUUACACAAAUAAGAACUCACACAGGAUAUAUCUUUUCAAUUAACAAUAAUACAAACUUCCACAAUGAUGUUAAGAAUGGUGUGAUAAUAGACUAGGUACAGGGCCACCUAGUUUAACACUCCCACCUAUGACCCUUCACAGGCUGGUUAUUCUUCAAACUACUGUGACUGGAUCGCAAGAACCUUUCCAGAAACAACACAUAAGACCUGAUUAACCACCUGGAACUAUCCGAAUAUGCAACGCGGAGAGCAGUAUAGUUAUGAGGACAGUCUGUAUUCCCCGAAGAUGUAGGUGAAGAGGGCAUAUCCCACCUCCCCAAGUUGCGACUGCCUUGCGUUUCCUCGAAGAUAGAUGUCCCCUGCGCACACAAAGAUGCUAAGACAGCCGAAGUAUGUCAUUGUAACUGUGCCAUGUUGCCAAACUUCGCGAAGAGACUCCAGUGUAAACAGAAAGAGAUAUAAAAAAGAUUCCUCCUCCCCGAUUAGGGAUGGCCACGGUAAACAGAGAAAUUUAUCGAUCUAAGUUAUUGGCUAACUUACAGGUUUUUUUGUUGUUACUGAAAAUUCACGGUAGCUGCAAGCAAUAUCGGCGAAGGUAAUUUGGUUAACAGCACGCCAGGCUGAAGCGAAGGAAAUUUUGGCAUAAUAGUGAAGCUCAAGGAGGCUCAAGGUUUCUCCCUGCUAAGGCUAGUAGAGGUUGUCAACAGGGUCGUUGAGUACCUUCUUGUAGGAAAAAGAAGUCAGAGGCCGCCCCAAUUAAGUUAAAAAACUAUUGUUGUAUAUUAAACAUUGUUGGCUAUCGAAUAUCAUUUCUUUCCUGUAUUUGUUUUUUAGCACGGAUGAAAACUACAUAUGUAACGAGCAUGUCUUAAUCGGAACCAUAAUUCGUUAGAUAGUAUCUUGUAACGCUGCCGAGAAUUAUCUAGGCAGAGGUUUAAUAAACCAAAAAAUAAACGGAGGCUAAAUAUAACUAAAAACCCUUUUCCGAAUGGUAAUGAAAUCAACAUUUACGUACUUACCUUCAGAUGAACACAGUCCCGGCAGAGCCGGAUGAACUCUUCUGUUCCCUUCACGUUGAUGGCGAUCGCCACCUUCAAGGUCUCGUCGAACCUGACGGUGGCGGCCAGAUGCAGCACGAUGUUGACGUGUUGAGUGAGGUGAUGGUAGUCAGUGUCGCUCAGCCCCAGGCGAGGCUGCGAGCAGUCUCCAGACACGAACACGAGCCUGCUCUGCCAGUCGGGCUGCUCGCUCUUCAUGCGCUCGAACACCUGCGAGCAACUACAACUCGCGGAACCUUUACGUUGCUGGCGAGAGCCGUUACAUUCAUUUACAUACAGUGUCUAAUAUUAGUUACAUCGUGUCUUUUUUUCUAUUAAGUAUGUUUUAUGCACUACUCAUUGGCUUCUAGCAAAUAGUUAUGAAAUACAACCAAAUUAAACAAAAUGUAUUGAAACAUAAUGUAUCAAAUAUAAUGAAUUUAUAUAAUACAAAUGAAUUGAAAUGUAACCAUAUGUAAUGAAAUAAAGUGAAUUUACAUGAAACAGAAUUAAAAUAUACCAAUUGUAAUGAAAUUAAACGAUUUUAAUAAAAAACGAAUACAAUGAUAUAAAUAUUUGAAAAGUAUUCAUUAUAAUCAGUGAUUUGCCCAAUGUUUCGGUUGAUUUUGCAGAUAGUUGCAACAAGGCAGGUAGAUAUGUUUGGUAAACCAUUCAUUUAUAUGGGCGUGAACUCAAUAUAGAUGAAUUUAAAACCAGCUGUUUACAUCAUACGUAUUUUGCACAAAGAGUAUCGACAUGCAGAGAUUCAUUGAUGACAGCUGGCUUUGGCUAUAAAACCUUUUGAGCAACGACUCAAUGCUGAUUUAAGAAAGCAAGUAGUGAAUUAUGUACGUUGUUGAUUAUUGUAACGUCACCUUGCAGGCAUGGAUCUGUGCAGUAAAUCGACAACCAAGUGAUGAAUUGACGCACUUGCUGUACGUAGGGAUCCUCACCUCAUUGUCCAUUAGCGCCUUCCUCCUGUCCUCCGCCGACACGCCUUUCUUCGGUCGUAUCAGCACGUACACGGUCCUGGCGGCAGGACAGCAUCGCAGGAUCUUCUCUAUGACGAGCUUGCCCAGGAAUCCUGUCCCGCCCGUCACCAGCACCCCGCAGUCCCGGUAGAAGUCCUGCACCGGCGAGUUGUCGCCUGCAGACGGCGUGUUGUCGUCCACAGACAUUGUGCUAAACUGAUAUUUCUCUUUGAAAGCCCGGUUCUUUUAUCCGGCAACCGAAAACAUGUUUUCGUCUAAUUAGCACACAAUUGUAGGGUUUAACUCACACGUUGUCUGUUUUAUCCUUGGAAUCAAACAAAGAAAUCACAAAGUUUUCCUUGUGAUAGACCGUGAGUUAACAAUAAAUUUAAGACUACACUGUACUUAGGUACUGUAAACCAUAAACAGCUGAUCAUAAAAUGUUCUGAUGAAAUGGUUUAAUCCUAGCCUUAUUUUGUUAAGAAAGAGUCUCCAUUAAAGAAUCAUUUAUGUCAAUAAAUUAGUAAAGUUUUUUAUAUUAUGUAUGGUAGUUAUUUACAUAACUAAUAGAAUAAAUGUGUAUUUAAAAAAGUGAAUAUAUUACUGGUGCCAUUCUAGGUACAUGAUAAACGUGCGCUUGAUUGUCUACAUCACGUUAUUUAGGAAUGAUUUUCGAGGGUGAUGUGGUGGUAAUAUCGUAAUGAUAUGAAAAUAAAAUAUGUAUAAAUCUAAUGAAAUUAAUUUCAGCAACCAAUUAUUAUGAUGAUCGUAAAAUGGUAAAUUGUGUGUGUGUUAUGACCGGUUAAGAGGCUAUAAGCAAUACACUCACAUAAUAAACUCUUAUUAAUUAUUUCAGUUACUCCUUGCCAGCAAACAUAAAACAAAACAAAAAUGUUCAAACUUAAAUGAAAUAUUUUUUAAUUCCGUUUUCUGAGUAUAUUAUUAAUGUUGUUAAUACAUAUAAUAUGAAUUCAUUUAAAAACAAUCUUUGCAGUUUAUAAAGGUAAAAUUUCCAACUGAAAAGUUUAAGUAAUUGUUUAACUGAAAAUUAAUUUUUAAUAGUUUUACAAACUAUGAUAGUUUACUGAACGACCCAAGUAUUCAGCUAAACUAGACCUACUAUAACAGCUCAAUAUGGUCUUAGAGUGACUAUCUGACUCGAUUAUGUCACAUAAUCCCAAAAUAAUUUUAGGUUUAUUAGCUCAGGGAGUAGACCAGAAAAUGAUUGGAGUUAAGGACCUCUGUACCUGUCCCUCGUUGAUUAAGGACAUCUGGAAUGAAGCUAGGAGAAGUUUCUACCAUUACGACCUAAGUGAGAAGCUGUAGUAGUCUGGAACACUGCUGUCUUCCUUCGAAUUGGCUGAAAAAUCCUAAAAUAGGAUUGGUCUCACCAAUAAAAACAUCAGGGAACGUCUCAGAUCUGCAGAAUUCUCGAGGCCAUCGCACUGUGCAAUUGACUAGGACCGUUAAGACUACAUCAGUCUUGUCCAAAUUCAACUCAGACUUCCUAGACUUGGACUCUAGAUGAAGUCUAGUUAGAAUCUCGGGCGUCGCGUAUCUUCCCGUUAUUGUUGCCAAUAAAGCCAUGGAUUUUCUUUAACAUUAGAUUAGAAAAACAUUCAAUACAAAGAAUUUAUUUGAAGGUAAAGGAUGUAGUCGGAUAAGCAAAGGCGAUUUAUCCCCGAUAGAAAGUCAUACUAUCAACUGUUCUGUAAUUUAGGUGAUACUAUAAGUAACUCAUAUAUAAAUAAAUAAUUUGUUUAGUCUAAAAGAAGGUAGGUAUGGAGAUACAAUAAAAAUAUAUCAAAAUGUAAGAUUUUAGUUUUUAAAUUUUUCCUUGAUUACUCCCUAUUAUAUUGUAUUAUAUUGACAUAAUUCCAAAAUCUCGCAAAAAACUAACAUUUAAGAGUAUACAAUUAAUAAUUUUUCUGUGGCAAUCUCCCUAAUAACCAUUAUAAUGAUAAAAAUCUAUUUAAAGUUUAUUGUAUGGAUUUCUAAGUUAAGUACCACCUUUAAAUACAAGAAAUGUUUUCAAUUUAGUUCAUUAUCGUGUAAAUUUUUAUCAAAAUCCGGAAAUAACAAUAUAUUAUAUAAUAGAAACAACUGUUCGAGGAAAAAAGUCUGUACAUUGGAUAAAUUUUCAAAAUAUUGUAAGCGUGUCUUUCAUACUAGUAGUAUGUAAAUGCCGAUACUGGCGCUGGCUCCUGGCUGUGGUUUCGGUGGUGUCCGCAGCAAUCUUGGAUUGUGACGUCACGGCGGCCAUCAUGAUUGACCUUGACCUUUGACAUUGACACCGGCAGCCAAAUUGGAUUCGCCAAAUUUAAUUACGCCAUUUAGAAUUCUAGAACUUUCUGCCACGUAAUCUAAAAUGUUGCAUAUUAAAAAUGCGAAGUUAUUAUCAGAUUUUAAUUGAAAAAAUUUAAAAAUCAUACAAAAAUGUUAUUAAUAAAAUUGAAAUAUAAAGCUCUUCGCCAUUUUGAAGAUUGUCCGUUAUCUUGAAAAUGUGUAAUGAAACAUUAGAGAUAUGGGCAUUAGAUGGCAGAAAGUUCUAGAAUUCAGAAUGGCGGAAUAUUCAAGUAACCAAUAUGGCGGAUCCAAAAUAGCGGAAUCCAACUCGGCAUAUCCAAUAUGGCCGCCUGGGUCAAUGUCAAAGGUAAAGUUCAAUCAAUAUGGCCACCGUUACGUCAGAAUCCAAUAUGGCGCGCGACACCACAGACACCACAGCCAGAAGCCAGAGGCAGUAUCGGCAUUUACAUACUACUACUCAUACUCGCAAGUGAUGUGUAACUUCUAACCUCGGUAAUGAACAAAUUCUUGCGUUCUGAUGUUGUAAAUAAACUUAAAAUGCAAAACUUGGACACAAAUUUUGACGUAUAGAUCUUUUAAAAAAUACCUACAGUGAUAUAUACACGAAAAGUAUUAAUUUAGAGAAAAAAGUUAAAAAUGUUUCUUAUUUUUGAAACGUAACUAUAAUUAUGAUUUACAAGAUUGUGCUAUUGAUUUCACAGGAUUCGCCGAACUACACGAGUACCGAACGCUUCGCCCGGAAACGGCUUAAAGCUUAACUUGUGACAUUUUUCCCUAGAGCGGAAUCAUCGUUUGCGUUUUUGAGGUAGUGCUUCUUUAGGAGCGUUGAGAGUGAAAUUUUAAUGUCCACCAAAAUGAAAUGAAAUAACCCCCAUUACACACCGUAAAUUUAACAGGUCGAAAGUCCAAAGCACAUGCAUGCAGAAAUUGCUGUAGACACGAGCCGAAGUCCUUACUCGUCAACACGCACCGACAACGUAAAUGUCACUUUUAUCCCUUUAACUACACUGAAUUUUCCCUACGACCAGCCUAAACUUCUAAUGAAACUCAAAACUAACUUUAAAUGUAAACCGGUAUAUCUAGUUAGUUUAAAAUCGUAAUUAUCCUCAUUUAAUUUAAUUUUAAUUUAGUAAUUUAAAUAUAUCACAUAAUAAAUACACUAAGUAACAAAAAAAAACCGAACACUGUUAUUUUUUACCGAUAAUUUUAAUAAAUACGAUUAUUUUAAUUAGUGGUAAGAAUUAGUUUUUAUAGGAUAACUAAGCAACGCCUACCACAAGCAAGUAAUGUUUUAUUAAUAACACUACAAAUAAAUUAUAAAGAAAAAAUAAGGGAUUAGAGCCUUUUUUAAAACUUAUGUCUUAAUUUUCGCCAGGUUUACUGACAAAUUAUGGCCAGCUAAUAAAGGCCUCCUAAUUACCCCCUAAUGUAUGGCGAAGCGCCCUAAUGCUGUCAGGCAUAGAAGAAAUUACAUUUUGAACAUGCUCCACUUAGAGUAGUUCGAAGCUGUCUUAAGUCACUAGGAGGAUGACGAUACCUAACACGUCUCCUUAAAUUAUCCCACAAAUUCUCUAUCCGAUUCAUGUCGGGAGAUCGUGUAGGCCGGUCCAGAACUGUAAUUCCCACGUGCGCCAAGUAUUCGGUGACAGUUCUUGCGGUGUGUGGGCGGGCAUUAUCCUACAUCAAAAUGAACGUUUAACCAAUAAAUGGCGCAAAUUUAAUCAAAGCCUUCAGGAGCACUUCAUCAACGUACUUCUGGGCAGUCAGAUUCCCAUUAUAAAUAAAAAUCAGCUCAGUACGAGCGUAAAAAUUUAUUCCUCGCCAAACCAUUACGAAUUGCCUUUGGAACAGUUCAGAGGAGAUCACAGAUGAGUCUAGCUUUGAUCGGUACCAUUCAGACGGUCGAGAAAGUGUGUGUAGGCGACCAGGGGAGCUAUUUGUUCAAUGCACUCUUUCAAGUCAAUUAUUUUAACUUAUACGAAGUUUAUUAUGCAUUUAUAAAAUAAAAUCGUUUAAAUGUAUUUCUUUAUAAUAUUUGGCUAUCACAGAGGUAUUUGUUAAGUGAUUUAAACAAUGUUACUGUUUUUUUUUAAUAUAUUUGUAUAUUUUUCGGACUCAAUACCUUAUUUUAUGGAAGGCCAUAAAUACAAGUGAAUUAUGCUUUAUGGAUUUAACUAACUAUGAAAAAAGAAAAUAUUCAAUACUCAGGUAAAUGUAAGUGUAUAUAAAUUGUAUUUUACACGGUUUAGCUUGUAGUAGGAGAAUCUUAUUGUAAGGAUUGAGCUUAAGAAUAACGACUAUUUUUAGGAAUUUAGAGUAAUUAUUUUUAACAGCAUGAAUAGUAGCUUUACAGUGGAGUGAAAGAGAAUAUACAUUUAAAAUGUUUAGGAAGAAGAUACUUCUCACAAGUGAGAAUAAAAAUGGAGCAUGUGCCUAAUUGGCUCUUCCAACGACGGGCUCCAAAUCCUUAUAACAUGUGCCUCGGAACUGACAAUAUAUUUCGUGCUAAUACAACAGUUACUUACCUCAUACAUGCUCGCACUUACAACUUACACGAAGCUCAUCAAUUUGGUUUCAUAUUAAAUAUGACUGUGAAUCGAGAAUAUAAUGGUAGUGGGUCACUUUAUGUGUUCUGCUCAGAGAUUUGUAAGCUUUGCCAUCAAAAAAAUGCAUCCUUACUUUGGGAACAUGUGUAAUUCCUGUUCAGUGAAUGAGUCCAUAAGAGCAAACAAGUCAUCCAAUGACAUGGGAGGCUCGUAAAACUCCUCUUUUAUCAGCUGAUGAAUGCAGUUCGAAAAAGCCGUUGAGACAUACACUGCAGCCUGAAACAUUUGCCCAACCAAAAUUACUAAACGCUUAAACUAUUCCAAGUAAGUACCAAGAUGGAUUAUUUUACUUCAUAAAAUUCUACUUUCCCAAAACACAUUCUCUUUACCUGAUGAUGUGUGAUAUAAUUAAUUUAAAAGAUAAUAGAAUUAUAAUAACCUUUUUUUACUUCAACUUAAUACAAAUUAUUCUGUCUAAAAAUAAAUCUUUACUUUAAGUUUUACUUACCCAGUGUAAAAGAAAGAUGACACAUAACAAAAAAAAAACCGAACUAACAAAUUGCUAUGAAUAUUUAAUUAUAAUCAUUUAAGCUUUAUCAGACUUAGGCAUUUGUAUCUAACAUGUUUGCUCUUACAUGUUUGUGCCAAAGGUUCAAUGGACCCAAAGCCACCAGGUCAAGUGGUGAUCAAGUUACAGUUGAGGCAAAGUCAUGGUCAAAAGAAACAAAUAGGUCCAAUAUCUAGUAAACAGUGUAUGAUCCACAGCACGUAUAUAGUGAAAAUAACUUGCCCUUAUUAGAAGGAAUUGGAAUCUCUAAUAUGAAAUACAUGAGAUCUAGUUAAUAAGAAUACUGAAUCUGAAUUGGCUAACAAAAAAAUAUUUAAUCAGCCGUACAGUAUUAUUAACAAUAAUUCAAUUAUAUUUUUAUAUAUAUCCUAUCAUCUGAUCAUUUAAGAUUUUUGAGGGCAGUGACUAAAUUUCAUUGAUGUUGUUGUGAUAUUUUUCUAAAUUUUCCGAAUAGGCAGUUCAGAGACAGACUAGUUUUUUUUAUCUUUAAUGCGUAUUAAUUGAGCCGCGAUAGAAUUGUGUGGCUACUUAAAGUAAUUGAUUCUUGUUACAAAUAUUUUAUUAAAUUGCAUUCAAGUGCAUGUAAUGCUGUAAUGGUUUUUCACCAUGAUUGAUUUAUAUUUGAGAAAAUUUGACAUUUAUUCGGUGUGAAGCGCUAGAUUUCCCACUAUUAUGACAGGGUUUUUUGGGAUUGGGGGAAAUCUUAGACCAUAGAUAGUUAUAGACUGCUUAUUGAACGUUUUGUUGUGAGGGCAAGAUGGGCAACAGCUGACUGUUGGUAACGAGUACACAUGGGUAUAUGGGGUUAUUGUGUAUCAACGUGGUUAUUUUACCAUUAAAAUGGUUAUUUCUUGUGUCACGUAUGGUUGUACGCAAACAUUUAAAAAAGGAAGCAAUAUUUCAUUUCACAGGUGAGUUAAGACACGUUAUAUUAGUAAGAAACCAUUAAGUAUUUAAUAGGUACGUCAGCACUCGGCAUUAUGUAUAUUUAUAUUACUAUAGGGUUUAAUAAAUCGAAUGUGAAUUAUUAGCAGACAGUAUUACUACUAUGUAAUCGUAAUAACGUUAUAUAGUUUCACUCGCUAAUAGUUACAUUAAACACGACCAGGUAUAUUACUAGCUAGUAAUCCCAAGGAUGCAUUGUUUAUUGUUUACAACUUUCAUCGGGUCUAGUCAGUUUUACGAUACCAGGUUCCUAAUUGGUUAAAAAACGAAUAGACGUUAAUAGUAAUGAGUGUAGUAGUCAUGAGAGAAGACGAAGGUCGUGAGACUGUGCUCAAAGCAUUUUCUUCCAGAAUGCUUCGACAACGAAGCUUUUGGCUUGGGAAGAAAACUGAAGCCAGAUUCCAUACCGUCGGUUUAUAAUUUCCCUCCACAUUUACUCUCGGACAAAAAGAAGAGGAAAUCUCCAGUUGAAAGAACCAAACAGGAAGCUUCAAAAGUUAUAAGCAGUUCAUCCACUGACAGUGCUGAACCACCAAUGAAAAAACCACGUUAGUUAAGGAAAGCAUACAUUGGUGAUUUUACUAACAGUGAUGAAAUAGUAAAAUCACCAAGAAAAGCACAGGCUUUUAUGCAAGUUGUGAAGCAGAAACUUAGUGCAACGAGAAAAAAGUUGAAAAUGUCACGCCAAAAAUUUGUUCUGAAUGUUUACUGUUUUAUUUUGAAUAGUUGUAUAUUUAACAGUAAACUUGGUAUAUGGAGUUGUGGGUUUUUCUGCUUUUCAUUCAGUUGCUUACAUAGUUUUUCUUUAGGUGUAUAAAAGGUGUUAACAUGUCUCCCCACAUGUUUAUAUACAUUAUGUCAUACAGCAUAAGAUUGACAUUACUUUUUUGGUGGUACACAAUUUUGUGUAAUUACGACAAGACCAAAUUGUAAAUAGAAGUUUAUUAGGUAAAGUGCAAAAAUGGAUGCAUGUCACAUUCAAUAUUAGGUGAACAAAUAUGGAUAAUCUAAGUAAAUAAUUUAUUUUGCACUAAAGUAGUAUUGUACCAUAUAACAAACAUUUGCGUUUGGCGAGGUAUACUGACCACAAAUAUAUUUGCUAUAAAAGUUUAUUUGCUGGUUCUGUUGUGCCACAGUAGAAGACAUACCUGUGCUGAAAAUGCACUCAACUAUUUAUAAAAAAUUUGUAAUUACUAUCACUCAAAAUUAGGUUUUGUUAUGAUGAAUCCUAAAUAAAUAGUACAUAGGUCAUUGUAUAUUUUGUUAUUCCAAAGAAGAUUGUAAUUUCAUGUUACUUAUGUAAAAGAAUUAGGUCAAACUUUAAUAAUUCAGUAAAGAACUAUUUCAGGUUGAAGUUCACUUAUUGGGAGUUUGUCACUUCACAACUUUUCUUAGAUUAACAACCUUGUACACCAUGAUGUUAUUACGAUUAUUGUUCAAAUAAACAUGUAUGUUUUUUUAUCCAAUACAAUGUACAAUUAUCUCAGAAGCUAGCAUUCAAUGGCUUGGCUCUUAGGUUAUGCCCUCAAAAACUCCUCCUAACUUAUUAUAAAACAAAAUAAUAAACAUGUCCAAACACCUAAUUGCGAAACCAAUUACAGGUAUCUUUAAGGAAGCACUGGUAGAAGGAGUGGUAGCCUACCUGAUUGUUUAAAAUUAGCUAGGGUCCUGCAUCUGCAUAAAAAAGGUAACCCAACAAAUCCAGAAAACUAUAGGCCUAUUAGUAUCCUACCUACAAUGGCAAAAAUAUUUGAAUGGGUUGUAUAUAAAAUACUUAUUUCAUUUUUUUACCCAUAACAACAUAUUAAAUAGAAGUCAAUAUGGUUUCCAAAAAAAUAAAAACAUCAGCAGCCAUUAAUGAAUUCAUAAAUAAAGUCUUAAAUGCACUGGAUAAUAAUACCUUAUCAUUAGGAAUUUUUUGUGAUUUAUCCAAAGCUUUCAACUUAGUCAAUCAUGCAAUUUUCCUAGAUAAACUAUAUCACUAUGGCAUAAGAGGCACAACACACAAAUUAAUGGAAUCAUAUCUGAAGGAAAGGAAACAGAGGGUAGAAAUUAAAAAUGUAAUUGGUAAGAAAUAUUCAAAUUGGUCAAUUGUCAGAAAUGGGGUGCCACAGGUCACUAAGGUCAGCUUAUCCUUCUUGCAGAUGAUACAUCAGUUAUAAUCACUGGGUAAAAUUCAAAAUCAGUACAGGAGACCAACGAAGCCAUUGAACGUAUGAAAAAUUGGUUCUCAUACAACAAACUUGCAUUGAAUGUCUCUAAAACUAAUUAUAUUAAAUUCAGAAAUAGGACCAAAGUAAAUGAAAACAAGUUUCACAUAAAAUUCAAUGGAAACAAUAUAGUACAGGUUAACUCAGUAAAAUUCUUAGGGGUAUAUAUUGAUAAGCAAUUAAAAUUUACGGAACACAUAACUAAUAUUGCGAAAAAAUUAAAUUCAGCCUGCUAUGUCUUGAGGUACCUUGUAGAAUUAGUCGAUUUAAAAACAAUUAAAACUGUGUAUCAUGCAUAUUUCCAUACAAUCAUAUCAUUCAAUAUUGAAAUCUGGGGAAAUGACAAACUAAAUGUGACUUCGUCCGGGCCUGCGGCCCCUUUGAGCCCGAUAUGGCACCGCCCAAACACCACCAUCUCUUUUCAAACCUCCCGCUCGUGCGUGCGUGUGUACGUGUGUUGAUAGCCCGGCAAGAUGGCGCUUAGCUGCAGUGCGCCGCACCCCUAAUUGGUAUUAAUAAUUAUUGUAAUCCUUUUAUUUUCGCCCCAAAAUAGUGUCACGACGGCUAUGUAUGUGAGUGUCUUUUGCUUAAUUAAAUCAUGUUUUGUAAUUAAAUACGUGCAAGCACGAACAAGGACGCUCCCUAGCAGGCGGCGGAGGAACUAGCACGUAACUUGAUUUAAACUGUUUUCUAUCAUAUAAGUAAUUAUUACAGACGGUCUGGGUAUGGAUGUGAUGUGCUAAUUUUUGUAAAGAGUCUAUGCUAUUUUGAAUAAUAACCCGGGGCACGCAAUAGCUAAGUUGUUACGGUAAUUGUGUUCGGCGCGAAGGGCGCCAUGUUGCCUGCCGCAAGCCCUUGUCUCAGCCCAGUCUCCUUCUACAGCCGGCCGAGAGCGGACGUCUCUGCAGACACCCCGAGGACAUCACCGUUGUCUCACCGAUAAGUAGUUCUGUUAAGUAAUUUAUUCAAAUCGUUUUCAUUAUUAUCGUCGGGGCCUCUCUCGGUCGGAGAGACUGCUUCAUUAAUAAUUAUUUACUCUCCGGAGUUUUUUCGGUCAUCUGUGUGAUAAGUAACGGCUUGAGGCGACCAAGUGCGUGGUUCGCCUCCUCACCUAAUUCGAUUCGUGCCUUGGGCGUUUUAUAGCAGUAUCAACGGAUGAUUGUGUAAGGGCGUGUGACGUGAUUAAUAAAAACAAUCUUAAUUGAGUCACGUAUCUUUGUGUUCGGGGGGGCCACGUGGGUCUUUAACCUGGUCAGCGGCGUGUGGGACGCCCUGAGAGCCCACUGCGGUAAUUAGAAGCGUGCCCGACGCUGAGAGCGGGCUCGGUCAGGAACAGGUGCUGGAGUAAACAUCAGGAGGGCUAAUAUCUCGCCGCACACGGGCCACGUAACGCCCUGAGUUAGAGUCUCCAGCCGGGUCCACGUGCCCACUCACGUGGUGGCGCCCAUUAUUUUCCACCAGUAUUCAAACCUUAACACCGGUACGCCCUCAAAUGGAAAUAUAUAAAAACUCCAAACAAAGCCAUUUGAAUAAUAACUAAAGAUAAAAAUGUAUCUAGUUGCAGAAAAAAUUUUAAGAAAUUAGGAAUACUAACAUUUACAAAUGAAUUCAUAUACAAAACAUUAAUUUUCUGCUAUAGGCACCAAACCAAAUUUAAAAGAAAUAAAGAUAUCCAUCAUCAUAAUACUCGAGGCUGCAAUAAAUUGAGACCCAUACAACACACCACUACUCAAUUUGAGAUCGGAAUAGAGCACAUUGGCAGAAUAAUAUUUAAUACCUUACAAUGCAAAAUAAUGGAAAUCAGCAACAUAGACAAAUACAAAGCUUCCAUAAAAAAAUACACUUGUAUGCAAUCCAUUUUACAAUUUAAAAUAAUUUAUGGAGUAUACUGCUGAAAGAGGGGAAGCAUUCUGGAACAGCCAGACUCCCUUGUAUAGCUACAAUGACUAACAACAAUAUCCUAAUACCCUAAAUCCUGCUUAAUUUUUUUAUAAGAAAAAAUAUAGGAAUUGCUUGACAUGUCAUGUUUAUGGGUACCUACGUAUAAAAAAAUUAUGUUAUAUUUGUAAUUCAGAUUAUCUGAAAAAUUGUAUUACUAUUUUUUUUACUUCAAAUUUAUGUGUAUGAAAAACUAUAUGUGUAUGUAAAACUGUGUACAUGUAAAACUGUAUGGAUAUGUAAAACUGUAAAUAUGUAAAUGACAUGUUCCAUAGCCUUAUGGUUUCUACCAAAAGAAGGCUCAAUGUAAUACAAAUAAAAUAAAUAAAUAAACUUAUCAUUGUCAAUAUUAUUUGGUCUACAAACGUGUAAAUUAAAACAUAACAACCCUGCAAGCUUUAAGAGUUCAAAAAAAAUUUUUUUUAACAAAAUGGUUGAAUGAAGAAUGAAUUCUCGCUCAUAACCAUUGAUCUAUACACAAAAUAAAAUUAUAGUAUGCAAUAAACCACGCAAAUUGAUUUUAAACAGCUGAAUUGGCUUCUCAAACUCAUUUCUUUCACUACCUUCCGACAAUAACAUUUGUCUCACGACCGAUAAUAUUCAAUAAACGGCGCACAUCUGAUGUAUUUCAUGGAAAUUAUGUGUACGGAUUCGACAUUUAAUUACUACAAUGAGUAAAUAAGUCGUGUAUUCUUUCUUGGUAACAAUAAAACUUAAAAUAUUAUGAAAUGUAUGCCGCGAUAACAUUGCGUUAUAUGGGAGAACUCUGCUUAGAUACCAACAGUCAGCUGAUCGAGAUGUUAGCCUCGGCCCGUAGUAUGGCAAAUAUAAGAGAAUCAGCAGUCUAUAAUAUGUAUGGUCUAAGCGGGAAAUAACCACUUAAAGAGCUUAGGAAUUGCCAACCUAUAAACUAAACAGCUGUUCAUUGAAGAAUAGUACCUACAGCCAGCGAUUUUUGUAUAAUAUUGUUACUGAUUGUUAUGGACAAAUUUUUUACUAGCUAUGGCGCGCACGCAUAGAUCAAACCUGCAUAAAAUUUAGAAUUUUGUGGUUUAGUUGAAUAUUUAUGUUAAUGCAUACAUUUUAUAGUUAACUUUGUUUUGGGUCAUAUCAUGUAUGUGAAACUUUAUUGCGUGGAAGUUGUAAUUGUUUAUAACAGUGAUCUAACACAAACUUUUAGUAAAUAAUGAUAAUAUUUGAUUCAUUAAAUAAUAUCUAAUUAAAACCUAAAUUUUUAAACGAUGGAUAUAACCGUACAUUAAAAUAAUUGAGAUUUUAAGGCAUUUUAAUCUAUUGUAUGUUUUUUUCUAUUUAAUAAAGCAUAUAUUUUCUCACAGCAAUUUCAAAAUAGUAUUUUUUUACGCUAGUCUCUUACAAUUUAGGUAAUUGAGUUUGGCAUUUAAAGUUUACAGUUUUAAAGCUUUAAUUUACUCGUACAUAUCGAAAGGUAGCAAUGGAAACACGAUUCCCGCGGUGAGGGAUUUGUGUGCGCUCUGUAGUAAUGCUGCGCUGAAAGUUGUAUCCUCUUUGGAAAAGAGGAAGUACAUAACCGAGCGAAACAUCUAAUAGGUGGUCUUUGAACCGUAUUGGAGUCUUCGAACGAAAUCGUCGAAAUCAUAAUGGGGGAGGGGUUAGACUCUUCUUGCUAUGAUCGCUUUGGAGACGUGGUGUAGUAGACCACACUGAACACGAUUCUGGGAAGAUAUGCAAGGGAAGGCUUUCACCACAUAAUUGGCAUAUCAAGAAAAUUAAAACUACGUAAAAAUUCCUCAAAUUAUAAUACCUAUUAUUUCAACUACAGUCUACGAAAAUAUUUUGUACUAAGAACUCUGUGCUGAAAGUCGGCCUACAUUGAGUAAAAUAUAAUAAACAUAAUCUUUAAAAAAAUAAACAUUAUGAAAUGUCGCCUCCCGUACGCGUGUCUGCUAUUAACUAUGCUCCAUUGUUAUAUUGUUUUAAUUUUGAAAGCAUCCUACAGACAUAGUACUCCAUGGAACCAUAUUCAAAGAACCAUAAGUGAGUUACACACCUGAAAUCAGGAAGCCGUGGGAAGUAUUUUCCUAUUAAUCAUUAAGUGCAUUUUUAAAACAUUUUAUAAUACGUCAGUAAUUACUACGUGUGUUGUGGUGUAUGCACCACUACGUAACUUUUAUUUUUGAUUGUUGUUUAUUAAAUCUGAACCAAUCCCAGCAAGGCGUCGAUAAGCCGGCGAUGGUAAAAAAAAAAACGCCAGAACCCGUUUCUUCGGGGAGUUCACCGGACUGAACCUGCGACACUCAGCGGUGUAUUUAGGCGCCAAUUAAGACUUUGUGAACUUAGAAAUUUUGAACAGCAACUACAUGUUUUUUGUAAGCCUAGAGACGUGCAGCAUCUUACAGCCAAGCAUUCAACACAGGAUAGGCUGGGCUGUGUUGUAGGAAUGUGCGUGUAUGUGUGUGACUCAACAAUAGUCAUAAGUAAGUUGCUAUACUGGUCGUCCUACUGGUGUUCCCUAUACUGGCAGCUGUUUCUACCACGGCGCACCACAGGUAACAAUUCCUUCUUACGCCAUUGAGGUCAUAAUCAAUAGAAACACAGCCAUCUUAUUUUCCCUAACUACGAUAUGUGUCCAAUUGACAUUCUUUAAACAAGCUAUUGUUCCCCAAAACUGCGAUUAUCUGUCUAGUUUGGCCCAGUGCUUCGAUUAGAUUUUGUGCCUACCAAUGGGUUACUAAUAGCCAGCAAAAUAUAUAAUUUAAAAAACUAGAACCCUGAGAUACUAUGGUAAAUUAAAGACUAUAAAUAUGUUAUGAUACAAACAGUUUUUGUGAGUGUGUCCGAAUAAACUUCCAGAUUUGAAUUUGCAUACGUCUGAAACAGACUACUUAUCCUUGUUUUAUUGAAGGCCUGAACGAUAGUGUUUUAUUUACAGUCUGAGCGAACCUUCUUUACACUGUUAGCUGUCAAUUAUCCAUUGAUGUUUUCUCGUCAGUCAUAGGUUUUGCAAUCUACCCUCUUUUUUUCGUUCUCUUCUGUUUUGGAUAAAUAUUGUGUUUGUUUCAUCUUUUCGUUUUGUCGUGUUUUUGUCUCGUUUCAACUGUUGUGCUGAAUUUUUUUGAGUUCAAUAUUUUUGUGCUAUCAUCAUUUGUGGGGGCUUUUUCGUUCUCAUAGUCCAUUUUACUUUGAAUUUCUUUGUUUGGUGACCAUAUUCCUGUUAUGGAAUAUUAUGUGGUGUUUAUAUCCUGUUGACAACAGUAAUUUUUUGCUUAAUUUGUGUUUUUGUCUUUUGAGUUUUUUGUAGUUUUCAUCUACAGACAUACGUAUGUGCUUAGCAAUGGCGUAUGUCCAAAAGCUUACAUCAAGUCAUGCAAUCCCAUUGCACAAAUCUUUCAAAGAUAAUAAACUUCCAGACUUGAAUGUUCAUACGUCUGAAACAGACACCUUAUCCUUGAUUUAUUGAAGGCCUGAACGAUAGUGUUUUAUUUACAUCCUGAGCGAACCUUCUUUACACUGUUAGCUGUCAACUAUCCAUUGUUGUUUUUUCAUCAGUCAUAGGUUUUGCAAGCUACCCUGAUAGCUUUGGUAUGUGUUUACUUUGGAAAAUGUAUAAUUCUGUAGCCAUUAAAAUAUCUACUUUUAAAAAAAAAUUGUGUUCAUAGUAGAUAAUCAUCGCUGUUUACCUCUUGAGGCUUCGUCACAAGCUAUAGGUAAGUGUGUGCUGUAUUUGUUAAUUAUUAUUGCAACUGAAGUACUGUGAUUCCUUCAGUAUACUUAUAUUCCCUGCUCCAUACCACGUUUCUCCAUCUCACUAUCAAUUUUUCACUUGUCCAAACAACAUUUCAUGCCUUCCUUAACUUGCAUCAUUAUGAACACUAAAUAGCCUUCAUUUAUAAUCAGCGUUCCACAGUCCAACUGCCUUCUAAAGGCCAAGAAGCUUGUGUAAAUAUCAUUUAAACGUAUGGAAAUGAUAUCUUGAAAUUGAAAUGCUUGGAUUAAGAGUGAAACAAAGUUUUGUCUAUAUAUGCUGUAAUCAGUCCAACUGUUUACAGUUAUAUUAUUAUUAUUUUUAUUAUUAUUGUAACAUUAAUUGUAUAUUUCAUGAGCCAAUAUUAUGUAUUUAAUUAUUUUAUUGUAAAGAGGACAACCAAAGUAUAACAGAUAUUACACAUCUGAUUGCCAGAGACAACACACUUUUAACUUCAGGGUCUUCUAAGCAUUAUUCUUUGGAAACUUUAUUCAUUUGGUCUUAGUUCGAUACUCUUACACGCUAACAUCCAAGUUUUAUUUCACUAUGCAGUUUAUUUGGUUUGCUGAUAUCGAUAGCUCCUUGGUUGCUAAGGACUGAAAGUAAAUAGUUCGAAGGAGGAAGGAAGAGAGACGCCAUCGCCAUCUUGCAGCGGGAAGACGUUUCUCGGGCUGGGGCUAACCAAAGCCUUGGUUGCCGCCCGAGGAAUUGAAGAUUCGCGUCAUCCGCGGUCGUGUACUAUCUAGAAUUCUCCAUUCUACAAGUUGGGAGAAUAGUAUCUAGACUGAAUAAGUCUUAGAUAGGGAGUAUCGGCGACAUCGAGUGCCAACUUCCGCGUCGGUCCCGUUUCGUCCCGUAGUGGUUCCGGACGACUGAUGUCAGCGCCAGCUGCGAUCGGCCACGACGAUUGGUGAGACCGAUCCAAAUUAAACCAGACUUUUUAGGACGAGAGGGAAGUCGAUUCUUCAGCCCGACGCCCGACCACCUCAGAUAUUCUGUAGUUUGCCAAUUACAGCUUACAGCGUCCAGUGUUCCAGCGUAGCAGCAGACCACCUGGAGGUCCUGGGAAGAGAGCCUCAAGCCUCCGACAGCGUAUAGCUAGACCCGGCAUGGUAUUCAAUGUGUUCCAGUGACGUCAUUUGCAUUUAAUUACCGACACCUAGGUUUGAACAGAAGUUAACAUACAAAAUAUAUUAUCUUGGUUGUCCUCGCUUAAUUACAUGUUAACAGUAACUUCACGCCCAUAUUCAAGAACCCAUUAAAGUCAUAUGUUUUCCAGCUAUUAUUAUUUCAUUUAUAGCAAACGUCGGUUACUCAUAAAAUAGACCUGGUCAGAGGUAAUGCAAAUUUAUACUAUUCACACAACACUACCAAAUUUUCCUUUUAAUAAUUACUCUCUGGACAGUAACACAGUGCAGUGACGUGCUAGCUGGAUUAUCAGUCUGGUAGUCAAUCCAGUAGCAACGUUCCUGAUAUCCAUUGCGAAGAGGGUAGGCGCCCAAAACCCCGCAAGAACACACCAGUAAUUAGAGAGUGGUGAACGCAACAAUAAUUAUUUACAAUUGGUGAACACACCAUAUUAAGUUACAGUUGGCCACACACAGGUUAAACCACAAUGCACGUAGAGAAAAGACCAAAAAGUUGCUUAAAUUAUCACGCAUUGAUAUUUUUAUGUGUACCAUCUUAGCUCUCGGUAUACGGCUUUUGGUGGGAGUAAUUUCGUGAAUGCGACAGAAGUCAAGGAACGGAAUUGUGUAAUCACGGUGCUGCCACCAGUGGUGGAUGGUGCGAAAUAAAGUUCACAAGAGGAAACUUUAUAGUAUUAACUGUUUAGUGAAUUAAAACAGGAUGGGCAGUAUUUUAAUAAAAUUCCCUUGUUUAAAAUCAGGUUCAAAAUUGGGGUUUGGUAUUUUUUUCAAGUCUUGUUCGCUUCUAACGGAGCCGUUUCAUACGGGCCAAUAGGAAUGCGCCAUAUGGACGUUUUUGAACGGGCUGGCAACGAUCGAAAGAAUGUUGGGGACUUUUUGAAGACCGAAGGACGCUCGAAGUUAAAGCCAAUAUAGUUUGUUAAAUAAAUAUAACAAUUGAAAGUAAAUAGGAUUAUGUGUAUUUAUGACACAAGUAGAUGUGCAAAGCUACGUGUGUAGAAAAUGUUUUAGGGAAAUAUGUGAAAUUUUAUUUAAUUGUGGAUAGAAAUUGCGAUUGUCGCCGAUACCGUAAGUCACGCCAUUGUGGCGCUUGUUAAUUUCCCUAAUUGUCGCCGCUAUCCAAAACACACAUCUGAUUUUUAUGACCCUAUAGACAAAUGAACCCUAAAGAACUUAAUAGAAAUUCGUGACAUAAUUUUUAUAAACAUUAAUUUUUUUUAAUAUAUUACAAACUUCAUUAUCUCGUCUAACCCCAGGUGUCUUGUUUUAAAAGUUAUCUGCUCACCCUGAACUAGCUAGCCGGCGCAUUAUAGAUAGACUAACCAGUUAAAAUAAAACCUUCAAGUCGUGAAAAUAUUUGGUGACUUAAAAUCUAUCAGGACAAACGAACUUUUGGUUUAUCUGUGUGCCCUACAUACCUCCGGAAAUUACGAAUUUAAGGAUGAUCUGUUAAGCUAAUCUAUCACUGCCACAGUUUUUAUUCUGAAAUUCAAACUGCCUGAUUUUUUUUAGUAAAGUUGAAUUUAUUUAUGUGGGAUAUUUGUCUAACAGUGAGGGAUAAAGUUAUUAAAAAUAUUUGCAGUUUUCCAAACAACAUAACUACAUAGUGUGUUUUUAUUUGUCUACUGCCAUUAUUGUCCCAUGUUUUUAUGUGGUUUAAAAUUGAUUGUCACCAAUACCUCAUUUGAAAGUCAUAAUAAAAUGAUAUAGUCCAAUAACAAUGUAAAACUAGACCUUCUAGAUCGAGAGCACGUUUUAUAAUCAGUGGUUUUCCCAAAGUUUCGGGUGUCGCGUUGCAGCCAUUUGCAAAGGUGGUUCACACAAUCAUAUAGUCGAUUGGCAGUUGACAACCGGCCUUUGUAGAUGGCUGCAACAAGGCACGUAUAAAUGUUUGAUAAUCCAUUGAUUUACAUGGGUGUGACCUCAAUACAGAGGCAUUUAAAACCAGGUGUUUAUAUCACCCGUAUUUUGACCAAAGAGUAUUUUCAUGCAGAGAUUCCAUGAUAAUAGCUGGCUUCGGCUAUAAAACCUUUUGAGCAACGACUCAACGCUGACUUAAGAAAGCAAGUAGUAAAUUAUGUACGUUGUUGUUUAUUGCAACGUCACCUUGCAGGCAUGGAACUGUGCAGUAAAUCGACAACCAAGUGUUGAAUUGACGCACUUGCUGUACGUAGGGAUCCUCACCUCGUUGUCCAUAAGCGCCUCCCUCCUGUCCUCCGCCGACACGCCUUUUAGUCCAGUCAAAUUAGGCGUAAGGGUAGACAUUUAAAAUAACAAACCAGGACCACUGGGAAAAUGUCGAGGACACCUUCCUUUGCGUCCAUACAAAAAUCCCAAAAAAUCCGGUAGCGGGUUUUCCGCCAUUUUGAAAAAUACUGUCACCAUUUUGAAUUUUCACAUAUAUUUACUAAAAAAAUCGUAGCCACUAAACGGUUUCACUUUUCGGGAUGUUUUUUUUUCCUACAUACUUCCUAUAAAUUUAUCUUUCCAUCAAUGUUACUAUACACAUAAUUUCUUUACCUGAUGUUUGCGUUUCGUUGUUUAAAGUAUUGCCGUUAAUCGUUGUUUUUACUUUAGGCUGAAAAACUUAAGAAUUUACACCAAAACGGUAGAUCGCAUUCAAAAACGUUUCAAACAAAAGUUGUAGAGCAUAAAAAACCUAUCGAAAACACUUUUAACAUAUAACAUACGGAAAUAAUUAGCCUUGUAGAAAGUGUUUAUCUGCGCGGUGGCGUUAGCUUACAAGGGAAGUAAAUACACAACAUAUUGCAGCAGAAAUUUUAUCCUAAAUUUUAAACAUUAAAGCGUUUUUCUUUAUAAAAUGUUAUCGUAAUCCCCAUUAACUAUAAUUAUGAAACUUGUUUGUGGCACUUUGCAUGUAAUUUUUUAACCCGAACUAUUUCUUUUGCCUUAUACCUGGACAAAAAAAAUUAUUCUCAAAUAAUUAUUUGUUUCAAUCUAUAAAAUGUUUUUUAUAAUAUAUAAUGUUUAUUUUAAAAUCUCUUCUGCUCUUUUGGUUUCAGUGAACAAAUGAGCAAAACAAAUGGAGUGUUGCUUUCUGCGCCCCUGUCUUCGCCCAGAUGGCGAAACUGUUCAGCUUACAAAAAAAGGCCUGAACACUAUUAUAGAAAUAAGCAAGUUAAGGAAAGAUGGUCUAGAUCGUGAACUUGUAGGCUCUGAGGGAUUAAUUGUACAUGUAGAGUGUAGAAAAAACUACACUAGGAAAAGAACUGCUGCACAAACGUCCACUACACCUAAGAUAACUCGCACAAAUAUACCAUCAUUCAACUUUAAAAGUCAGUUGAUACCUCAAACCUACGUAAUCCUGGAAAAGAAGAGUGGAGUGUAGUAUCUACACUGCACAUUGUAGACUCUAUUCGGCAUAUGGUAGAGAAUAGAGGAGAUUGUGACUGGGCUAAAGAUGUGCUCAUUAGACUAGCAGGGCUUAUAGAUCUUGUUGCUGAAGAAGGUCGGUAUCAUCGGCAUUGCUAUCAGCGCUUCAAUGUGUGUGGAUCUUCAAAGCCCGGAACAGUACAGAAGAGUGGGAGACAACCUGAUAAACUACGUGAGGAAGCAUUCCGAGGUUUAUGUCAAUUUAUCGAAGAAAAUGAGGAUUGUCAAUUCACAAUCAGCGAGCUUGUAGAAAAUUUGGCUGAAAUAAGUUCGGAUACGCAACCAUACAGCGAGAAUCAUUUGAAACGGAAACUUUCCGAACAUUAUGGUGAAAAUAUAAAUAUAACACACUUGCCAGGCAAACAAAGUGUUGUUUGUUUUUCGGAUGUUAUAAGUAAAACAAUUACAGAUAAAUUGUACACCGAAAGAAGAACUGACGAAAAAGAAGAAGAAAAAAGGAUAGUUGUAGCUGCAGCCCACUUGAUAAGACAAGAAAUUCUUUCCCGUCCUUACGAACAUGACUUUUUUCCGACUGUAGAAGAAAUGAAGACAGGUAAUACAGAGCUGGUAGGCGGAUUACUGAAGCUAUUUGCAAGUACAGUUUUGGCUCCAAAAAAAAAUAACAAAAGGAUUCAGUCAAAAUGGAAAGGAAAAAAUUGUGUCUUCAGCAUCAGAUUAUUGCUGCACUUCGACCUAGGUCAUUUACUUCACCUCUGCAAGUAGGUCUGGGUGUUUACCUGCACAGGAAAUUUGGAUCUAAAAAUCUUGUUGAUCUGUUGUCAAACCUCGGUAUUUGCUCAUCUUACAGUGAAGUGGUUAGGUAUGAGUCCUCCGUCGCUACUAAUGGACAAGCCACUGUAGAUGACCAUGCAUAUAUACAGUUUGUGUAUGAUAAUGCCGAUCACAAUGUGCAGACUCUUGAUGGUCAUCGAACUUUCCACGCAAUGGGUGGCAUUAAGUGUGUAACGCCUGCAACAGCUGUUAAAACAGAAAAAAAAAGGUAUCUAGAAAAGGUGUUAUUUCAGCAGCUAGCACAAGUUCUUUAGGAUUAAGUAAAAUAUCAUUCUACAAACAGCCUAGCAGAUCUGGUUAUAGUAAUAUAAUAGUGCAAGAUGUUAUGGAACUUCAAUUUAAACCAAAAAGUGCUGAGAUUGCCCAGCAACUUGAUUAUUUAUGGAUGUCAGGAACAUGGCUAGAUAUUUUGCCUCGUUGUAACUGGUCGGGCUUUAUGGAGCGAGUUUGUCAAAAUGAAGAAUUUGAAAUAUCAGCUGUUAUACCAUUGCCAUUUUUUUAUAUGGAUCCAGGGAAUCUUUCUACAAUAUAUUCAUCACUACUACAAGCAGCAGAAGAAGGAAUCAAACGUGGUCAAUCGAAUGUGAUAGUGACAUAUGACCAGUCACUUUUUGCUAAAGCUAUUGAAAUGGUUUUAGCAUAAUCUCCAGAAAGUCCACUGAAUUGUGUUGUCGUACGUCUCGGUGGAUUUCACCUUCUGCUCUCGUACAUGGGAUCUAUGGGUCAUAUAAUGAGUGGAAGUGGAUUAGAAAAUCUAUGGCAGAUAGUACAUGCCAAGAAUAGUGAAGUGCACAUGCUAAGUGGACGAGCAUACUCAAGAGCGUUUCGUGCUCAUUUAUUGACCCUACAAGCUUUAACUACUCUCAUCCUUAAGAAGACUGUCGGAGAUACGGCCUUUCUUGAAUGUUUGCGACAGUGUUACACUUUAAUGUUCAACAAACCUUCAAAUCUCCAAAAUAUUUUUGAAGGCCAGUCUCUACAGAAGCUAACUGAACUUCUAUUGGAGGAAAUGAAGAAUGUCGAAACAAAUGGUGGGCGCACUGCCAAAUUAUGGACUCAGUACAUGGAUAUGGUCAACAUUAUGUGUUUGUUUAUCCGAGCUGAGCGUUGUGGUGACUGGCAGCUGCAUCUUUAUGCUAUUCAACAGAUGCUACCAUACUUUCAUUCUGCUGGCCACUUCAACUAUGCCAAAUCUGCUCAUGUAUACCUUCAAGAAAUGAUUCAGCUUGAAGAUAAAAUGAAUCCAGAUGAAUUUCAGAAGUUCACCAAACAAUGAUUUUUCACUAUUCGCCGAUUAAGCAAAUUCUGGUCGGGUUUAUGGUCUGAUAUGACCAUUGAACAGGUACUAAUGCGAUCAAUGAAGAGUACUGGAGGUCUCACGCAUGGCCGCGGAAUUUCAUCAUCCACUCUUGCAAAAUGGAUCCAUGCAGCACCUAAUACAUCGAGAGUUGUGGAUGCUGUAGAAGAAAUUGGUGGAGUUUGGAUCGAAUCCUCAGAACAGCACACUGAUCUCAGGUUAUCAAGACAAGAUAGAGAUAGAUCUGACAUUCAGUCUUUCAUAAAUUGGCUUCAUGAACACAAUCCCUUUCAAAGACUCUCAGAUGACCUAACUUAUCUUUCCAGUGGGGUGAUUGGAGACAAAUAUUUAAACUGUGACAAAGCUUGAGAAGUUGGCCAAUCAAAUCUUAAGAACACUGUAGGCAAAUGUUUUUCUGAAGUUCACUACCGACGCACAGACAAGGUGAAGUGUUUAGACAAUGCAAGUAAAGCUGUAAGAGUACACAAUGAAGAAAUUGUGAUCAACCCAAACCAACUUUUCCACAGAAUGCUGUGCCUUGUAAGAAGUGAUGAAGAGCUGGCAUCCUUCUUAGCAUACGAACUGGCUGCUCAUCCACCAUCGUUGUUUGAUGAUGUAUCUAUUCUUAAGGGCACGAAGUCGUCUCUUGUACAUGUCCUUGAUGAAUUGUCGUCAAAUCAGUUGUCUCUUCCAGAUAAUUCAGUAUAUACAAUUGAUGGUGGCCAUUAACUGCACAAAGUUGUUUGGCUUCGUCCAGCAACAUUCAAGCAGAUAUGUCAGCAGUAUGUUAAAUAUGUUGAGGACCAUUAUGUUCACUGUUACAUCGUAUUCGACGGAUAUCAAGCAGGGCCCAGCACAAAAGAUGUUGAGCAUUUACGCAGACAAAAAAAUAGAAAUUCAGUAAAAGUAAGUGUCGAAGACAAUAUUCAUGUGCAGUGUUCACAACAAGACUUUCUGUCAAACAAGACUAACAAAUAUGGAUUCAUCAAACUUAUGAAAAACCAUCUCCAAAAAGCUGGGUGUAAUGUUUAUGAAGCAGAUGGAAAUGCAGAUACGGCUAUUGUUACCAAAGCCACAGAGUUAGCAUUGUCAGGUCCAUCUGUGCUUGUUGGAGAAGAUACUGAUCUGCUAGUCUUGUUGAUCACGCAUGCAACAGCUGACACACAUAUGUUGAUACCUGGUACGAAAACAAAACCAGAUCGCAUAUAUAGCAGUCAGAAGCUGCAAGCCAGUUUAGGGAACAUGAAGAAAUACAUGUUGUUCCUUCAUGCAUUUACAGGGUGCGAUACCACUUCUGCUCCUUUCAACAAAGGGAAAAAUAAUGCAUACAAACUGCUUUUUGAUAAUGAUUUGCUUCAAAGUCAAAUUGAAAUCUUUAAUAGUUCAUCAUCAUCCAAAGAUUCAGUUGCAGAUGCCGGAGAGAAAUUUUUUCUAGCAAUGUAUGGCGCUAAGGGACAAUCUGAUCUUGACACAGCAAGACAUCACCUUUACCUUAAGACUGUGGGCAAGCAGCAAGUCAGUGGUAGCUUUAACUUAGCAAAACUCCCUCCCACAACGGAAGCAGCACGCCAGCAUUCCCUACGCGUUUAUUUACAAGUGCAGCAGUGGAAACAUGUGGAUCUUUCGCCCACAGUUCCAGUUCCAACACUACAAAAACCUGCUCUAGACAACCUCAUGAAACUUGUAAUGUGCAACUGCAAAAUUUCAUGUGGAAAAAACUGUGAGUGCAAACGAAGUGGACUUGAAUGUUCUGGUAUGUGUGGUCAAUGUUCUGGAUAUGGCUGUAGCAAUAGUCCUUUUAUAAGCACCAACUGUGAAUUUGGUGAAGAAGAAGUUUCUGACAUUGAUGUGCAAAGUGCAUUAAAUUAAUAAUUUCCUUUCUGUUGAUUCAAAUUUGAUAGGUCAAAAUUGAGUGUCUUAAUUUUCUUUGUUUUGAUAAGUUUAAUUUCAAGUUCUUCGAUUCUGAUAAUAAGGAAUCAUGUUUACCAUUCAGUAUAUAAUUGUUUGUUAAUUCCUUAAUAUUUAUAUGAAAUUUAAUUCCGAGAAAACACCUGCAAAAAAACAUUUAUAUAAACCACAAAAUAUGUCAGUCUUGAAGGAUGCAAUGACUUUUAAACAAUUGUGACAAUUUCAAUAUGUUGUACAAAUUGACUUUCAUAAAAUUGUUUGGUGACCAUUUGCAUUUACACAAAUUAACAUGUCGACAGCAUUCAUUAACAUUUUGUUUUAAUGCUUAAUAGUAUUUACUAUUUAUUAAUAAGACUUGCAGUGUAUUUAUGUAAAUAACAGAAAACAUGCUGACCAGUAAAAUAUAUGGUUUACAGAUGGAACUGGACAAAUUAUAUUGACGUUAAAACUGUAUUUUCUGUGGUACAGUGGAAAUAAAUAAAAAUUAUAGAUUUUGAAAUAAAUUAAAAAUAAAUCAGUUCACGAGUUUUAUAUCUCACAACAUAAAAAUGUAUUUCCGAGAAUAUUAUUGGUUAUUAAAAAAAGAGAGGGCAGAGUUCGACAAAAAUAAUUUUAUACUACUUUAUUGACGAGACAUAGGAUAACAUUGCAUGAAGAAAUACACUUUGAGGUUUCAAAUUUAGGGUAAAAAUUCUGCUGCAAUAUGCUGUGUAUUUAAUUUCCUUGUAAGCUAACGCCACCGCGCAAAGAAACACUUUCUAAAAGGCUAAUUAUUUGCGUAUGUUAUAUAUUAAAAUUGUUUUCGAUGGGUUUUUCUAUGCUCUACAACUUUUGUUUGAAACGUUUUUAAAUGCGAUCUACCGUUUUGAUGUAAAUUCUUAAGUUUUUCAGCCUAAAGUAAAAACAACGAUUAACGACAAUACUUUAAACAACGAAACGAAAACAUCAGUUAAAGAAAUUAUGUGUAUAGUAACAUUUAUGGAAAGAUAAAUUUAUAGGAAGUAUGUAGAAAAAAACAUCCCGAAAAGUGAAACCGUUUAGUGGCUACGAUUUUUUUAGUAAAUAUAUGUGAAAAUUCAAAAUGGUGACAGUAUUUUUCAAAAUGGCGGAAAACCCGCAACUGGAUUUUUUUUUUUUUGGGAUUUUUGUACAGACGCAGAGGAAGGUGUCCUCGACAUUUUCCCAGUAGUCCCGGUUUGUUAUUUUUAAUGUCCGGGUUUGCCUUAAUUUAUGCCUAAUUUGAUUGGACUAUUUCUUCAGUCGUAUCAGCACGUACACGGUCCUGGCGGCAGGUCAGCAUCGCAGGAUCUUCUCUAUGACGAGCUUGCCCAGGAAUCCUGUCCCGCCCGUCACCAGCACCCCGCAGUCCCGGUAGAAGUCCUGGACACGUGUUAGGCGGCGAGGCAUUGCAUCCAGUGGAGUUCGCUGAAGUUAGCCGUUCCUACCGUCGCAUCGGUUUUUCUUUCCCCGUCAUAUUUGCAAACAAACAAGUUCCCCAGACAGUUGUGAUUUCCUAGGUGUAUGCUCGGAAAUGACUCAAUGUGAAAUAUUAUGUUUAAUUCAUUACCUAACCUUCCUGUUUGCUUGAUUCUCAAAUUGGUUCAUUGUUUCUUCAACAGUAUUUGUACUCAAUUUUUUUUUUCAAUUCAAUUCAAUUCAAUGUGUGUAGCAGAACAAUAGAAGCUACGGAAAUAGGUGGGAAUGGUGUUAGCACUAUCGUCGCUGAAUUGCUGAUUGGGUUGAGGCCCCCAGUUAUAAGCAACUUAUGCUAAUCAGGAUAAUUAAUAUUCUAUUCCCUGCACGAUCAGAAUCUAUUUUUGUAUGUCUUUCAAUAAGAUCACUAACAAAAAAAACUUUGCUACGUUAAAUAUUCUCUCUAAAUAAGUAAAUUGACUUCUUGACACAGAAAAUUCACCUAACUACAGAAUAAAAGGUAUAAUUGAAACCGAGAUUUUCGCCAGAUUAUAAUGAUGACAGCAGUAUAUAAAAGGGGCUGCGGGUGGACCGGCUCAUGGCUCCUAACAAAAAAAAAACCUGCACACACCUCCACAGCCUGAAGCCUGUGCCUGUUAAACAUGGUAUCCAGAAACUCUGUCAAGAAGAGGAGGACUAUGUCAGUAAAGGUUCUGGCUAUUCUCUGUCUAGUAAAUUUCGAUUGGAGCUAAGAAUUAGUCAAUUCACGCCUAUGUAGACCUAAAUGUUUAUAAGAUUGUUAGCUUUCGCAAUUGUUCCUGUCGUAUAAUAGAAAUUAUGUAAUAAUUUUAAUGUAUGUAAAAGAACUUGCGGUGUUUUAUUUCUCGAACCUGACACUUUUCUGGUAUUUUUAAUUAAAUUUAUUUUAGCUGGCGGUCGUAAUGGCAUAAUUUAUUAUUACUGAGGUGCCCACACAUCCGGAAAUUUGGGCGCCAUCUUGGAAAUUCGUGAUAAUCAACCUAAAAAUUCAGGUAAAAGUUCGAAAUUCAUUAAACGAAUUUGCAAUCAUUGUACUGGUUAAUUAGAUCGACUAAGGUCCUUGGUACGAUCCUGGACGUUAUAAAAUUAAUUUAAUAUAACAUCAAUUUAGCAUAAUAGUGACAGGUUCGAGAAAUAAAACACCACAAUUUAUUGUACAAACGUAAUAUUUAUUACUUAAUUUCUAUUUCAUUAAAAUCGGAUAAUAAAUAAAGAUUUUCAAGAUGGCGGUCGUAACGGAAAUUGCAACGGUGACGUCAUUAUUAAAAUUGGCGGUCAUAAUCCUAGAUGACGUCAGAGGCUUAUCACAGGCUUUAGACAUAAAUGCUUAAGCCUCUUUUAGGACAUUGUGUUCUUUCUAAGGCAAAAUGACUUUUGAGGUUUUUCGAAAUCCUAAUUUUUGAACUGUGGAAUUUUUUGGGAUUUUUUGACGGAAAUUUUUUCAAAAAAAAAAAAGAAGGUUUUAGCGAAUUUUGAGGAAAUUUUGGCUAAUUUUGGCGAUUUUUGGCUAAAUUUUAGUUAAUUUUGACUAAUUUUGAAGGUCAUGGUCAAUGUCAAAGGUUAUCCAAUAUGGCCGCCAUCACUUCACAAAUCCAACAUGGCGGACCGGCUCACAGCUCCACCCAAAAAAAAAAACCUGUACACACAUCUCCACAGCCUGAAGUCUGUGCCCGCACCCCCUUAUAUACUACUGAUGACCCUCAAUGAUUCACGAGGUUAAUAGCAUGCUCCAUAGAAAAAUAAAAUAAAUUAAUAGUUACAGAAAUGUUUUAAUGGUUUUUUUUUAAUUUUUUUUCUUUGAGUACUUAAAUAAUAAUAUAUUCAUUCAGGAAAAAUAAUAACGAUUAUAUUAUUUUGUUACUGCUCAUUCGUCACGUAUCCUCACUUGAAACUAAUUUGUAUCUAAGGAAAUUUUGUUGAUGAGCAAAAGGCGAGUGCAAUAGAUAUCAGGUUAUUAAAAAGAUUUUAGUAGAAUAUAAAUGUUCCUCCGGGGACUGGGUCCUUGGUGCGGAGUCGGAGCCGACCGCCAUCUUGAAUGAUAUCACAAUUAUACUUUUUGUGACAGUCUCCAUAUUGGAUUAUGACGUUCACGGAAGCCAUACAGGUGUCAAUUUUCCUCAAAAAGACUCAAAAUUAUUCAUAACUCCUAAAAAAAAUUCCCCAUAUCGAAAGAAAAAAUUCCUGUUAAAAGAGAAAAUUUCUCGUUUUAUUUAACAAAACUUCAAAAAAAAAUUCCAAGUUCGAAAUGCUUUAAAAUUGUUGCCUUUAAAGGAACAAAAUAUCCCCAUAGAUGCUUAUAAUCCCUAUUGACAAGCCUUCAAUAAACCUCUAGAGAGGAGCCUUGACCUUGACCUUAACCUAAACCAUAAACUUGAUAUUCUUUAAUGUUUCACCAAAAUAUUUCGAAAAAAAUUCCUAAAAAUACACAAUUAAUUGCUUACUUCAAAUAAUAUUUAGUUACUUAAUCCAUUCGGUUCUCGUUUCGAUUACUGGUGAAAGUAAACAUUUAUUUUUUUUUUAAUUGAAAAAACUUAAUUACAAUUAAAGUAAAAUUUUAAAAUCUUUCUUACGUCACACCCGACAUAUUGGAUUCUAGAACGUUGCUCUUUUCAUUACAGCUGCCAACUUUAUAUUUUUUUAGGGUAGAAAAUCGGGAAUAAUUUUAAAAAUCAUGAAAAAUAUCAUUCGAUAAAAUUUUAAUUUAAAAAGCACUAACGCCAUGGGGUCCUCGGUUGAAUCUCGAUGAGGUUAUUAGAUUAAAAAUGGCGAUGGAUCCUUUCUCCUCGGAAGCCACAGGCAGACUGACCUCCUACCACCAUUAAUGCAAAGUAAUACAUAACAUCAGCCAGUAUGGCGUCAUAGUAGCUAUCUUAGGACCACCAUAUUGUUGUCGUUUGGUGGAGGUCGUGAUCCCAUUUUUGUUUGCUAGAGUGCGCUGCCUCCAUAAUAUAUAACCGAUAGAAUGCACUAGUAUAUAAUAACGUGGUACCUGCCAUCUUUUCAGCCGUCUGAACCGCCAUCUUGGAAAGUCAUAAUAAUUACCCUAGAAAUUCGGAAAAGGAUUCUAAAAAUCAUCAAAAAUUCGCUUACUAAAAUAAUGUAUAGCUUGAUUAAUUAGAGUACCUACUUGUUUCGAUUUGUGUUCAGUGCAAAAAAGCUAAUUUAAUUAAAAUACCAAAAAUAGCAGGUUCAAGAAAUAAAACAACAAAAUUACAAACAGAAAAUUUAUUACAGGAACACUUGAAAAAGUCAGCAAUCUUACAAACACUUAGUUAUGCAUUAGCUUGAACCGACUAAUUCUCAGCUCCAAUCGGUUUUCUGAAGACACAGACGAGACAGAUCCUUUACUGGCCUAGUCUUCAUCUUCCUGACAGAGUUUCUCGAUGCCAUGUUUAACAGACUGAUUUACAUCGUCAGAACUGUAAAUUAGAGUAUUCAUUGAAAGCGCAAUUCUUCACUUCGUCCUCAAACGGAUACGGUUUACCAUAUACACAGUUCAGCCACAAGUUAUAUUUUUAAGGUCCGUACAUUACGACUACAUCAGUAAGCUGAUUGAUAAUCUGCUUGAUCUCGUCAAAAAAAAAAGUAAAAA